rnacentral:rRNA from 1 species
UACGGGGGGGGCAAGCGUUGUUCGGAAUUACUGGGCGUAAAGGGCUCGUAGGUGGCCAACUAAGUCAGACGUGAAAUCCCUCGGCUCAACCGGGGAACUGCGUCUGAGACUGGGAGGCUUGAAUCCGGGAGAGGAAUGCGGAAUUCCAGGUGUAGCGGUGAAAUGCGUAGAUAUCUGGAGGAACACCGGUGGCGAAGGCGGCAUCCUGGACCGGUAUUGACGCUGAGGCGCGAAAGCGUGGGGAGCAAACAGG